rnacentral:miRNA from 1 species
UUUUUAGCAUACGUAUGUACCAUGAAAUAUCUGAGACAUACUUAUGCUAAAA